CAAUUUAAAACGUCGAGGCUCAUUUCCGACCAUCGACGCUUGAAAAAGGACGCCAGCUUUACGACAACAAUCAUGUGUAUCGUGUCAGAGAGGUGAACCGCACGGACAUCUCGGCGAAGUGCUUGUCACAACAAAGCAAGCAGGCUUACGACGCCGAACUCCAAUCUUCGUUUACAGCUGUCGAUCGCGCCUCGAACUAUACUGAAGGGGACGUGUACGUGCCAUUACGGCGCCCUCGGUGACUGUAAACACUGCGCAGCGGUGGUAUUUUACAUCAAGCUGCACGAGGACGUGUCGUGUACGAGCGGUCCGCAGUCAUGGGGGAAACCAUCGACGAAGCCCGACCAUGACGACAAAGUGCCACUGAGAAAGCUGUUUGGAGGUGGCACGAGGAACGCAAAGUGCGCAUCAGCAGCACAGCAGCUCACACAAUUUUGCGUACCCGCAGAGGCCCUAAAGAGAUUGUUCACAGCGUUUUCAAGUCCAGUUUUUUUUCGUCCGAGGCUACAACAUAUGGAAUACGUAUGGAGCCAGUGGCCAGGAAGGACUUUGAGCAGCAGCGUGGUGUCACGGUGACAGAGGUGGGCCUGUUAUUUCACCCGCAACAGCCAUGGCUUUGUGGAAGCCCUGAUGGAAUUUUUUCUCUCUCUGGCGAGACAUGCUUGCUAGAGAUAAAGUGCCCAUACACAUGCAUUGACAGAGGGAUUUUUGACGAUUCAGGGCACAGCAUCCUUGACUAUGUGCAUCAUGUUGAUGGAAACCCCAUAGUAAGGAAGUCGCACAGAUACUAUACACAGGUCCAGAUUUUGAUGUACCCGCUUAAUGCAAAGCAGUGUUUCUUCUUUGUAUAUUCAAAGAUGCAGAGCAUGACCAUGGUUGUCGGUAGGGAUGAUGCUUUCCUUCAAGAGGCCAUUCCAACUCUUGAACAAUUUUAUUUUCAGUGGAUUUUGUGUGAACUUGUAAGGCAACAAAGUUAGUAGAGUGAAUGAUGCCUCACUCUAGAGUGCUACUUCUAUUUACUGAAUAGGGUUUUCCAACGCUUGGUAUACAAGCGUUGAAACACUUGCUAUUAUAUGUGCAAUUUUUUAUUUUUUCCAAGAGACAGAAAGUCUUCCGUCAUGUUAUUUACUUGUAAAUAUAGUGCACCGUAUGGCAUAAGCGUUUUGGUACUAUCAGUGGAUCAGACGCAUUACUUUGUGCUUAGCAGCAACACACCAUAACCACUGUGUUACUGCAAUUUGUGGGCAACUUAAGGACACACUCCAGCAAAAUGCCACGGGUAGAGAGAUAUAAAUCUGAAUUUUCUGUACGCAUCUUGUCACGCAUGGCAAAUUGAUGUAUUUAUUAUUUAGGCAACCAACGAGACUAGUCAUAUUGUGCAAAAAGUGAUGUUUGUUUACUUGCUUCUGCCUGUCCUCAUAUUCAUUUCAUAGCAACGCAUUAUCUGUACUUCAUGUAAGCCUCCUGCGAUACAAGUCACCAGCGUCACGGAUGCGUGGUGCUGCAGUUUUUUUUUUCUUCAGUGGUAUUAGUAUUACCGGAGUGAAUGCUCAUCUGAAUUUUCUGUAUGCAUCUUGUCACGCAUGGUAAAUUGGUGUAUUUAUUCUUUAGGCAACCAACCAGACUAGUCAUUGUGCAAAAAGUGACCUUUGUUUACUUGCUUCUGCCUGUCCUCAUAUUCAUUUCAUAGCAAAGCAUUAUCUGUACUUCAUUCAAGCCUCCUGCGAUACAAGUCACCAGGGUCACGGAUGCGUGGUGCUGCAGUUUUUUGUUUCUUCAGUGGUAUUAGUAUUACCGGAGUGAAUGCUCAUCUGAAUUUUCUGUAUGCAUCUUGUCACGCAUGGUAAAUUGGUGUAUUUAUUCUUUAGGCAAUCAACCAAACUAAUCUUUUAUUUUGCAAACAAUGAUGUUUUGUGAAGUGUAAUCAUGCAUACUGUGAUCUCUUAGCUUUUGCUUCUCACUUGUGUUUCCUAGUCAAGCUUUGUUACGCAAGCUAUAAGUGCUCAUGUACGUCUAAUAAGCAUUAGAAAAUUUAUGAGGGAAGUUUGUGCAUUGAAUUUUCUGAUCUGAGGCAACACCUUUUCCUUUUACAUGGUGAAAGAAAACUGCACCCACAUAUUCAUGCUUGUGAAAUGAAGUGGGAACAAUAAAUACUGAUUGUAAAAUGUC